rnacentral:rRNA from 1 species
AUACGGAGGAUCCGAGCGUUAUCCGGAUUUAUUGGGUUUAAAGGGUGCGCAGGCGGCCAUUUAAGUCAGCGGUUAAAUCGUGGGGCUCAACCCCAUUCUGCCGUUGAUACUGGGUGGCUUGAUUGCGGUCGAGGUUGGCGGAAUUCGUUGUGUAGCGGUGAAAUGCAUAGAUAUGACGAAGAACACCGAUUGCGUAGGCAGCUGACCAGACCGCAAAUGACGCUCAUGCACGAAAGUGCGGGGAUCGAACAGGAUUAGAUACCCUGGUAGUCCGCACAGUAAACGAUGAUUACCCGCUGUCGGCGGUAGACAGUCGGCGGCCAAGCGAAAGCGAUAAGUAAUCCACCUGGGGAGUACGCCGGCAACGGUGAAACUCAAAUGAAUUGGCGGGG